GUUUCUAGUCACUAUGGCGGCGGCGGUGGCGGCGGUUCCUGCUGCUGGGAAGGUCGAGGCAAAGUUUUCGCGGUUGGCGGACGCCUGAGAGGGAGACGCCGCUCGGGGAGGCGCCCGGCCGCCAGGCCUCUCUCUCCUUUGGCGGGAACGGGACGAAGCCUCGCAUCGGCGAGCGAGAAGCGCCGCGCCUCAGGAGGGAGAGAGGGCUCCUGUCUCCCAGCCACCUGCAGCGGGACCGAGCGGAGGGCGCCGGGGCUUCCCUCGGCCUUGCUCGGGAGGUUGUCCCCCUUCCCGUCCCCUGCGGAGAGCAUUCGGCCAGCCUGGGCGCCGAUAGCCCCGCUGGACAGCCUUCCCUUCUCCCGGCCUCCCCCUUCCUCCUCCUCCUCCUCCUCCGCCGCCGCUUUCAUUGAUAAGUCAUCGGCGUUGCUUGUUCGAGACCAGCGCUGGGGCAGCCGCCACACUUUCUGCUUUUCUCCGCCGUCCCCAUCUGGCCGGCCGGCCGAGCCACCGACCGACCGACCCGCUGUCAGUUUCUCCUCCACUUGAGAAGAACAAUUCCCCCCCCCCCACGGCUCCCGGCAGUGUGGGAUGAUUAGGAUCCACUGAGCUUUUAUGGAGAACAAAACUGGCAUUUCCUUCACGAUCCAGCUGGUGAUUUAAUUGCCUCUUUGCUAAUUCUGGUCUGGGCCUGGUGGAGGAGGAGAGCCUGCUUCUUAGUUGGGUGCCCUCGCGUUCCUGCCUUUGCUUUAAUAGGUGAAGAAGAUGAAAGGUGGAUUCACUCCUGGAUGUGUUAAACUGUUUUUGCUGCCAAGGCUUCCUGGUUGUUCUGCAGUCCUGUAAAUCUCAGCUGUUUCCCAGUCCCUCAGUCUUAACACUUUUUUUCUUGUGGAGGAAACUCUUGGGCAGUGUUUAUUGAAGAGAAUAGAGUGGUUACAUCCCAAACAAGUAUUUGUGUGUGAGUCACUCACUUGGAGUUACAGCCAUCCCCACCUUAAUCUAACAAGUUCUGUUUUCUUCUGACUUGUCAGAUGCUUGUUCACAUUACUGAGAAAAAUGGAUUAAUGUGGAACAUAACCAGUCUGCUGCAGGCCUUAUUAAAGGAAACAAUGGGGCUUUUUUACUGGAUUAUUGCCAGCAUUAGUUCACACACUGAAGGUAUAAGUUGUUAGAUCUUGCUUGCAGGUGAUGUUUGUCCUGCUUUAAUGUGAAGUGCAGUGGGAAUUUUGCUUAUCAACUGUGGAGGGUGGCUUGGAUCAAGAAGAGUUUCUCUUCUUCCCAGCUUGGUGUG
rnacentral:lncRNA from 1 species